rnacentral:rRNA from 1 species
AGUAGAGUGGCGAAAGGGCGAGUAACGCAUGGGUAACGUACCCUUAACAGGCGGAUANCAGCUGGGAAUCGUGGAUAAUACCUGAUAAGACCACAGCGCCGUAUGGCGUAGCGGUCAAAUGGCGGUGAUCCUUCGGGACCUGCCGGUUUUGGAGCGGCCCAUGUCCUAUCAGCUUGUUGGUGAGGUGAUGGCUCACCAAGGCAACGACGGGUAGCGGGACUGAGAGGUUGGCCCGCCGCAUCGGGACUGAGAGAGGUGCCCGGACUCCUACGGGAGGCUGCAGUAACGAAUACCGUCCANUGGGCGUUUGCCUGAGACAGCAAUGCCGCGUGCGGGAGGAAGUCCUUCGGGAUGUAAACCGCUGUCAUGGGCUACCAAGUGAAGAGGGUUAACAGCUCUCUGCGCUGAGGAGCCCCAGAGGAAGCCACGGCUAACUUCGUGCCAGCAGCCGCAGUAAUACGAAGGUGGCGAGCGUUGUUCGGAAUCACUGCGCUUGAAGAGCACGUAGGCCGACCU